GUGGAUUAGAUACCCCAGUAGUCCACGCCCUAAACGAUGUCAACUGGUUGUUGGGGAUUUAUUUCUUCAGUAACGAAGCUAACGCGUGAAGUUGACCGCCUGGGGAGUACGGCCGCAAGGUUAAAACUCAAAGGAAUUGACGGGGACCCGCACAAGCGGUGGAUGAUGUUCUUUAAUUCGAUGCAACGCGAAAAACCUUACCCACCUUUGACAUGUACGGAAUCCUUUAGAGAUAGAGGAGUGCUCGAAAGAGAGCCGUAACACAGGUGCUGCACGGCCGUCGUCAACU
rnacentral:rRNA from 1 species